UGCUUGCACAAAGCUGGAUUUAGUUACCACCUAGUGGCAGACGGGUGAGUAACACGUGGGUAACCUACCUUUUAGUUGGGGAUAACAGUUGGAAACGAUUGCUAAUACCGAAUAAGAUGUAUGAAUAAUUUUUAUACAUUGAAAGGAGCUUCAAAGCUUCGCUUAAAGAUGGGCCUGCGGCGUAUUAGCUAGUUGGUGGGGUAAUGGCCUACCAAGGCGACGAUGCGUAGCCGGACUGAGAGGCUGAUCGGCCACAUUGGGACUGAGACACGGCCCAAACUCC
rnacentral:rRNA from 1 species